UUAAGCAGCUCAGAUAUUAUCAGAGACCCAGGUGCUUUCUAUUUUUCCACUCCGUCAUAACCCUCAUGUUGUCUAUUGUUCUCAGGCUUGUUGCCUGAUGUUAGAGAUCGGAGCCCCAGUGCCCAGCUCCCUGGACAGACUUAGCGAUGUGAGCAGCAGAGGGAAGUUGUCAUCUUCUGUGUGUUCCCUUUUAUCAGCAAGGAAGAGCUUGCUCUGAAGCUUUCUAGAAGUUUCCCCUAAUAUCUCACAGGCCAGAAUUUCAUCAUAUACCCACCUCUAACUGGUCAGUGGCCAAGAGAAUAUAUUUACUAUGAAUGGUUCAGACUAAUAAUUAAUCUGAGCUGCCUUUCUGAAGCACGCAGCCAUCUUGUAUCAAAGAAAACUGGGGUUAGCAAAUGGAGGAGAAAUGGUUGUAGGACAAGCAACUAACCGUGUCUGUAGCCCCACAGUUCUGUGACAACAGCGUACCUGAGAUAUGCCUAUCUGGAUUUCCAGGAAACUUUCUGAAGAUCUUCAUUUGACACAGGAUACCUUGUGGACUCCUUGUGUAGGCAAAGGUACCUUUACUUGCCCCUACAUUUCACUGUGGGUUUGGCUUCAUCUAGAGUGCCACAUCAAAGGCACUUUCCCCCAGGACUUUGAGGUACUGUUCCAGCGCCUUCCAGCACUCAAUGUGUCUGCAGAGAAGUCUGAGAAACUCCAUGGGUGGAAAUCUGGAGACACCUGUUGGGGGAGAACCUACACAUUCUGGAAGACCGGUGGUAUGGGUGUUUGAGCCUUUCAGUGAAUUGCAUCACAAUGCCGUGGAAGCGGUUUACUCUAAUUCUUCAUGAUGGGUUAGAAUGGCUGCAGCAUCUGCCCCUGAGCCCGCAACCACCAAAAGGAGACUACACAAGUGAAGCUGUAGCUGUUCCAGGCUCUGCCUCGAAGGGACUGGCAACAUUGCCUUCCACGCUCUGAGAGCACUUGCUGUCAGGACGCCCAACUGCCUCGUGAGCCCGGCUGUCCUUCUGGAGAGACUGCGGGGGCGAUGCCGUGCACGUCUGCAGCUGCAGGAGCAUUUUGGCAGAACCUCCGGGUGGCUUCCGCCCCAGCUGCCAAUCAGCUGCAACUCCACGAGCCCCCGAGCCCUGGGGUGAGCCCAGCAGAGCUGCCCAGCUGAGCCCUUUCAACCCGCAGAACCACGAGGGAGGUUGGAAUGGUUGUUCUAAAUAGGGUGGGAACUCGGAGGAGGCAAGAGGGCGCCUAGGACACAGGAUGUAAGGAGGUACUCUGCUCUUGGGGACCCAGGUUGUCCUUGUUUGACCUUGA